UCAUUUUGUAAAAACAAGGAUACAAUUGAAAUAGAAGCAUUGACAGCAUUUUCUUACACAGAUCCUGGAUUUGAGAGGCUAUUUAUGAACAUCAAACUGUGGUCCAUUUCUCCCUGGAGUAUCAUGCAGAUGUGCAGCUGCACAGCUGCAGCUCUUCAACACCAGGAGAAGUAUGAGCUAUCCACAGACACCAGUAAAAAGCCAGGCCCAUGCAGGCCACACAAGCCCUGCCUAAACUUGGGAGAAAUUUGAAAUAACAGAGCCUGUUUAUUAAACCAUCAUACUGGGGAAUUGUACAUCAAGAGAACACUUCCUUCUUAAGUCAUUCCAAGAGGUAUGACAGUGAUUCUAUCACAAAAAGAAAUACAACAUAUCCCAAAUAUAUAUUCAACUAAUAAUACAGAAUGCUUGUUUUUUUGCAAGCCUGAACAGACAGUAAUGCUAUAAUAUUAGAACUUAAUUUUAUUUCUACCAAAGAGUGGCAAUUUGCUUUAUGAUGUGCCGUUUUUGCAUGCCAACUAAGGCAUGAUAAACAGUAAACUGAAGCCCAAAUUUCAGCACUUUUUUUCCACAUCACCCAGUAGUAACAUGACAUAAAGUCUCAUACAGUCUUUCGUAGUCUCAUAGCAGCCUCCAAAUGCCAAAAGGAGACCUAACAAGAGAGUUGGAGAGGAAUUUUUUACAAGGGCAUGUUGUGAUAAGACAAAGGAUAAUGAUUUUAAGCUUAAGGACUUAGACUACAGCAUGGUGAGGCACAAGAACAG
rnacentral:lncRNA from 1 species